UACGAAGGGGGCUAGCGUUGCUCGGAAUCACUGGGCGUAAAGGGUGCGUAGGCGGGUCUUUAAGUCAGGGGUGAAAUCCUGGAGCUCAACUCCAGAACUGCCUUUGAUACUGAAGAUCUUGAGUUCGGGAGAGGUGAGUGGAACUGCGAGUGUAGAGGUGAAAUUCGUAGAUAUUCGCAAGAACACCAGUGGCGAAGGCGGCUCACUGGCCCGAUACUGACGCUGAUGCACGAGAGCGUGGGGAGCAAACAGG
rnacentral:rRNA from 1 species